CAGGAAGUCCAUUGAUUGUGGCCUGUGGAAUAUUGUCCCACUCCUCUUCACUGGCUGUGCGAAGUUGCUGGAUAUUGGCGAGAACUGGAACAUGUUGUCGUAGACGUCGAUCCAGAGCAUCCCAAAUAUGCUCAAUGAGUGUCUGGUGAGGGUUGCAAAGGUCAACGCUUAUAGCUAUAUCCGUCAGUCCAUGUUCGUGAAAGUGUGUAUGUAUGAGUUUGUGAGUAAGUCAAUGUAUGCAUGACAUUUCCAUAUGCAACAUUUAUGUUUUUCCUGUAUAUCUAUAUUAUGUUGCCUCUACUCUGACAGUGUUUUCUAAUUCUUCAAUACACAGAGAACACUAAUA
rnacentral:lncRNA from 1 species